rnacentral:tRNA from 1 species
GCCCCCUUAGCAUAAUGGUCAUUGCAGUAGUUUUGUAAACUUCAGGUCACAGUUCGAUUCUGUGAGGGGGCU